CCUACGGGAGGCAGCAGUAGGGAAUAUUGCUCAAUGGGGGAAACCCUGAAGCAGCAACGCCGCGUGUAGGAUGAAGGUUUUCGGAUUGUAACCCCGUGUUGUUAGAGAAGAUAAUGACGGUAUCAAACGAAUAAGCACCGGCUAACUCCGUGCCAGCAGCCGCGGUAAUACGGAGGGUGCAAGCGUUACUCGGAUCCACUGGGCGUAAAGAGCGCGAAGGCGGGAUUGCAAGUAAGAUGUGAAAGUCUGUAGCUUAACCACAAAACGUGAGUUGAACCUGUUACUCUUGAUUGUGGGAGAGGUAGGUGGAAUUCUUGGUGUAGGGGGAAAAUCCGUAGAGAUCAAGAAGAAAUCUCAUUGCGAAGGCGGCCUUCUGGGACAUUACUGACGCUGAUGCACGAAAGCGUGGGGAGCAAACAGGAUUAGAUACCCUUGUAGUC
rnacentral:rRNA from 1 species